rnacentral:rRNA from 1 species
UACAUGCAAGUCGAGCGAAUGGAUUAAGAGCUUGCUCUUAUGAAGUUAGCGGCGGACGGGUGAGUAACACGUGGGUAACCUGCCCAUAAGACUGGGAUAACUCCGGGAAACCGGGGCUAAUACCGGAUAACAUUUUGAACUGCAUGGUUCGAAAUUGAAAGGCGGCUUCGGCUGUCACUUAUGGAUGGACCCGCGUCGCAUUAGCUAGUUGGUGAGGUAACGGCUCACCAAGGCAACGAUGCGUAGCCGACCUGAGAGGGUGAUCGGCCACACUGGGACUGAGACACGGCCCAGACUCCUACGGGAGGCAGCAGUAGGGAAUCUUCCGCAAUGGACGAAAGUCUGACGGAGCAACGCCGCGUGAGUGAUGAAGGCUUUCGGGUCGUAAAACUCUGUUGUUAGGGAAGAACAAGUGCUAGUUGAAUAAGCUGGCACCUUGACGGUACCUAACCAGAAAGCCACGGCUAACUACGUGCCAGCAGCCGCGGUAAUACGUAGGUGGCAAGCGUUAUCCGGAAUUAUUGGGCGUAAAGCGCGCGCAGGUGGUUUCUUAAGUCUGAUGUGAAAGCCCACGGCUCAACCGUGGAGGGUCAUUGGAAACUGGGAGACUUGAGUGCAGAAGAGGAAAGUGGAAUUCCAUGUGUAGCGGUGAAAUGCGUAGAGAUAUGGAGGAACACCAGUGGCGAAGGCGACUUUCUGGUCUGUAACUGACACUGAGGCGCGAAAGCGUGGGGAGCAAACAGGAUUAGAUAC